GGUGAUAUAGCUCAACCGGUCAGAGCGUCGCACUCAUAAUGCGAAGGUUCCUGGUUCAAGUCCAGGUAUCACCACCA
rnacentral:tRNA from 1 species